UACGUAGGGUGCGAGCGUUGUCCGGAAUUAUUGGGCGUAAAGGGCUCGUAGGCGGUUUGUCGCGUCGGGAGUGAAAACCUCGGGCUUAACUCGGGGCUUGCUUUCGAUACGGGCAGACUAGAGGUAUGCAGGGGAGAACGGAAUUCCUGGUGUAGCGGUGGAAUGCGCAGAUAUCAGGAGGAACACCGGUGGCGAAGGCGGGUCUCUGGGCAGUAACUGACGCUGAGGAGCGAAAGCGUGGGGAGCAAACAGG
rnacentral:rRNA from 1 species